rnacentral:lncRNA from 1 species
AUACAUUGAUUUAAUUAAAUAUUGUAAAUACUGUAUUAUGCUUGGUAAUAUUAUUUAAUUAUUAUUGUAAAUACUAUAUUAUGUUUGGUUAUAUUAUUUGAUUGUUAUCCUUGAUAUUGGAUGUAUACGUGUUGUCAAUUAUGGAAAAGAGGAUAAUAGGAAGAAUCUUUUGUGUAGUUGAGUCUAACCAUUGUAGGGACCGAGUUCAGGCGAGCCCGUG